UGCUAAUGCCGGAUAACAACAGAUGAUGCCUAUCAACUGUUUAAAAGAUGGUUCUGCUAUCACUCUUGGAUGGACCUGCGGUGCAUUAGCUAGUUGGUAGGGUAACGGCCUACCAAGGCGAUGAUGCAUAGCCGAGUUGAGAGACUGAUCGGCCACAUUGGGACUGAGACACGGCCCAAACUCCUACGGGAGGCAGCAGCC
rnacentral:rRNA from 1 species